GUCAACUACCCCCGUCUAAAGACGGAGGCAUGAAGCCUUGGAGUUGACCAGCCUCAGCCCGUACCGCAAGGUCAAUGGGCUACGUUAUCCCGGUCAUGGCACCCCGGGGUGCUUGGGCCAGCUUCGGGCAACUGCC
rnacentral:sRNA from 21 species